UUUUUAAAUAUCUUCGGAAGAGAAAGACCCUAAGGGCUUGUUUGGAAGGCCACUUCCUCGCGGGAAAAUCAUACUUUUCCCGGGUCCAAAGCUCACGUGGAGAUCUAUCUCGGGCAUACUUUUUGGCCCAUUUGGAAGACAAACACCCUGGUCCAGUUCUCCCCCGACACGGAGGGAUACCCGUGGAAGCGCUCCCGACCACCCGAGGUCGGGCAACCUUCCCCAGGUUGGAAGGGACACGAGCGGAUCCGAGCGAAGCGACCGCGCGUCCGCGCCCUCCGUCGCCACCACCAUCCGCUCCGCCGCCACUCCAUCGUCGUCCACAUUGCUGCCAUCCGCUCUGCCGCUGCUCCAUCGUCGUCCUUCCCCGAAGCAGUCGUGAGCGAGACGUGAGGCGACGGUGCCCUCCACCACUGCCACCGUCUCGGAUUUGUCGUCCUUCACCGCCAUCUCUGCCUCAGUUUGCUGUCCUCCACUACCGUCUUCCGCGGCACUAUGUAAGACCUUCGCUCCUCCUUGUAAAUUAUGUACUUACCUAGCGGGUUCUGAUGCACGCACCUAGCGGGUUCCAGAGUCCUAGUGAAAUCUGAUGAAUUUUUAUGCAUGAACCAAGAGGAAGUUGCUGGUUUCAGUUUGGGGCACAGUUUUUUGGAUCAGUUAAGUGAUGCCUAUUUGUUGUUUAGAACUAUACAUCGAUUGAUCUAUUUAAACUGUCCAUCUUGAUGCAUUUUUUGUUCAGUUGAACUUGAACUGGGUUCUUUAAUAAAUUCACUGCAAAAAAUCUGCAUUCAACAAUUGUUUGGAGGUUUGAAUGAACUAACCUCCGAAGGGGUUUAGUUGCUUGGUUUCAUCAGUAGCCACUAUUAAUGGAUCAGAAUGACUUGUAGACAAAAGGAGAACCACCCUCUAGUUCUUCCAUUUCUUCACUGAAAAUUGAUGCUGCACUGACUUCGUAUACUUUUUAGGAGCUUGUCAGUUCUGACUGUUUGGUUCGGCUUCUUUGAGAGAAUGGUUUAAGGUCAAUAGGUGUAUCACUAUAGUCUGCAAAUUAGAUAAUCGCAAUUCUUAUCUAAAAAAAUAUUAGGUUUGAAACCACAAAUAAUCAACGACUACAUAUUGAAGUACAUUGAAAUUUUGUUACAUUAUCUAAAAAUUGCUGCAUUGAAUCAGUACCUAGAAAAGAUUGCUUCAUUUCUUUCUUAUUAGUUUCUGUGAACUGAUGUGCUAGUUUAGAAUCAUGUACCCAGAAAAGAUUGCUGCAUUUCUUUCUUAUUAGUUUCUGUGAACUGAUGUGCUAGUUUAGAAUCAUGUACCUAGAAAAGGUUGUUGCAUUUCUUUCUUAUUAGUUUCUGUGAACUGAUGUGCUAGUUUAGAAUCAUGCUUGAGAAUUGAGAUCUAGAAACCCAAAGGAAUAAAUUUUUAAAUAGCAUUAUCUCAGUUUUUUUAAAACAGUGGUCUCUAUUAUAGCAUUCUUGUAUCAUCUUUUGUCUAUUUAUAUCUUUCAAACUGGACAACCAGGGGGUUUAAAGUAGCAUGCUACAUCAAGUUUCAAAUACCCUGAAUCUGUUACAUUGCUCAUUGAAUCAGUUACAACCUGAAUCAAGUUUCACUGCAUUGGAUAUAUGCUUCAAUUAUAAUUACCUAGAGAGUAAUAGCAGUUUUAUGUGAUAGGAGAACAUCUAGCAGUUUUGCCGAACGGGUAUGCUAGAUUGCAAAGCAUCAUCCAUAGGGUAGUAGUAACAGUUGCUCUCCUAGUUGUUACUGCUAUGCAUUCAGGUUUAUGUGUGAUAGUAAUAGUUGUUCUCUUAGCUGAUCUGUAAUAGUAAUAGCAGUUUUAUGAUAUAUGUUCAGUUUUAUCAUGCUUGUGUACUUUUAAUUGCUGCGAGGGACAGGUAUUUGGCCGUCUAGUAUCUAAUAGGAAAGGAUUUAGUUUUUUGUUAAGUUAGCUGAAGUAUUUUAUGGUGCUUCUUGCGUCUCUGUCAAAUAGGAAGGCAGACUUCUCUGUUGUUGGUGACUUUUUAGCUACUGUGCAUGCAAAUAGGAAAGCAUUCAGAUUUUUUUAGCUCCUGGUGACUUUUCUCUGUUGCUUUGGUUAUGUGCAUGCAACCAUGUAUACUAAGUUAUUAACAACAUGUCAAUUGGUAUUACUUGCAGAGUGGAGGCAACACAUGAAACCAACAUGGAGAAGAAAAAUGAAAUGGCAUUCCACAUAAAGCUUGUGAAAAAGAGUUAAACUCGUAAUUUAUUCUAGUGCAGAAGUUCCUAACCAAGAGAUUUGUAUUCCAUUUCUAUAUUAUAUUGUCUAUCUAUAUGUGUGAAUAAAGGUGACCUUAUAUGAUGUGAUGAUGUAUGAAUUAGCUUCGAUGGAUAUUAUAUGGUAUUCAAAUUAAACUUUACAUGAAUUAUAUGUGGUGCAUUAUUUUUUGGAUUUUUAGUGAUGUUCAUUGUGUUUCUGAUUUUCCCAAAUAUUUCUCUUUUUCUUUGAUUUUUUGAUUUUUUAAGUAUUUUGCUCAAGAGGGGUAUUUAAUCCCUUGACUUCCAAAUGGUGCCAGGUAAGUAUAUCAGAGAGGGGUGAUUCUCCCUGGAAAUGAAAGGGCCUCUAUAAAUCCCCUUCGGGGCUGAUUUCCCUAGGAAUUUCCUCUCCUCGCUGCCAAACCA
rnacentral:lncRNA from 1 species